CUGAAAUAGGACUCCUGUACUCUGGAUGUGAGGUGAGGUGGAGCUGGCAGACACCACGCUCUGGCUCUUAACUGGCAGACAUGCAGGACUUACAGAGCCCAGAAGGGAGGCUUCAGAGCUCCUGGAACUGGAGUUAUAGGCAGCUGGACAUGGGUACUACGAUUCAAGCUCCAGUCCUCUGCAAGAGCUGAAGUUACACUGUCUGAGGUAAACGGCUGAGACCCAGGAGAGAAACUGGGGACAAUCAAGUUGCUGGAAAAGAGGGUGCCGGUGUCCCCAAAGCCCACAUCUCUCAACCCUGAUACUGACUGGCCGACUCCAAGUGAAAAGGGGAACAAGAAAGGCAGCUCCCUGUUACCUGCACCCCCAGGCCCCUGGCAGAGACCACUCAGUCCUGUAAGGUUCUGAGCUUCGGCUUUUCCUGAUGUGGAACUGGAUUGCAAUAACAGGAAGAAAGA